AGUAAAUACGGUGAAAUUCAAUAAGGACAAAUACAAAGUACUCCACUUAGGAAGGAACAAUCAGUUGCACACAUACAAAAUGGGAAAUGACUGCCUAGGAAGGAGUACUGUGGAAAGAGAUCUGAGAGUAAGAGUGGAUCACAAGCGAAGUAUGAGUCAGUAUAACACUGUUUCAAAAAAAGCAAACAUCAUUCUGGGAUGUAUUAGCAGGACUGUUAUAAGCAAGACAUGAGCAGUAAUUCUUCCGUU